GACGGAGGAUGCAAGCGUUAUCCGGAAUGAUUGGGCGUAAAGCGUCCGCAGGUGGCAGUUCAAGUCUGCUGUCAAAGACCGGGGCUUAACUUCGGAAAGGCAGUGGAAACUGAAAGAGCUAGAGUGCGGUAGGGGUAGAGGGAAUUCCCAGUGUAGCGGUGAAAUGCGUAGAGAUUGGGAAGAACACCGGUGGCGAAAGCGCUCUACUGGGCCUGCACUGACACUGAGGGACGAAAGCUAGGGGAGCGAAAGGG
rnacentral:rRNA from 1 species